CCAAAGGCUCUUUUAAGAGCCCUACAUCCACUCAUUCCCUAAUAG
rfam:Dipodomys ordii contig_70646, whole genome shotgun sequence.